rnacentral:lncRNA from 1 species
UAGGCUCCGCCCUCUGCACGCCGCUCUCGGAAGUGGAGCCAGAAUCCACAGAUGUCAUUAUCCAUCUGCACACUUUGUUUACUACCCAGAAGGCAAGAAUAUUGCAUUUUAAAAGUGCCUAGACUUUUGUUCUUUCUUAUCACAAAUGACUUGGGAAGCUCCGACCACUCAUGUUUACCCCGAGUGAAAGUCCCAUUCAAAGCCUUGCUUCCUGGAGAGCUUUGAGAUUCUGGUUCAAAAGGCAUUUUAUAAGCACAAAGUGGAAAAGCAUCAUUCAUAUUCAUUUGCUGCUGCGGCAUUUCUCCCUGGAUUCUUCCUCUUGUCUGUCAACAUUGGGCAAAAGGACUGGCCUCAUCUACAUUACAGAUAUCCUUGUGAUGGUCUGGAGGUAGGAAAAGGACACCCAGCACAAGAGUGAGAAGGGAAACUCAAGCUCUCCUGUUGGAGAGUCUCAGGCUUCUUUAUCCAUAAAACUGAUCGGACAUAA